GCAAACCAUUGCCCACCUGAGUCUACAAAAGGCAGAAACAAUUACUCUGAGAGGUGUGAACUAUCCCUGCCAUCUCAUUCAAGACACUGUGGACUGCGCUCACACUACAAUUUUGCAUUUUUCCAAGGAUCAGAAAGCAAGAAGAGAGCAGAUUAAAAGGUGUCCCUGAGGAAAUUAAUCUAAUGGUCUUAUAGAAGCAGCAGCAAGUUCUAUAUUAUUUUGUGACUGUUGGAGUUCCAUGAGAAUGCUAUCCUCCGGAGUGUAAAUAGAAAAGAAAAAGACACAAGACAGUUCUCAACUCAUUUCAGCCUGGAAGUUGAAGUUUGGGCAGGAGCUUAUUGGACCCACGUUCUGAUUUUGGCCACAUCUGGGAAUGCUGCCUGAAUAUAAAGAGAAGAGUUUUUGAAAUUCAGUAGGAGAUGUGUUAUUGUCUUUUCCUAGUUUCAAUAGGACUGCAAAGAUAUAAUUGAUUUUAAUUAACUGCAGGCUAUAUGUAUUCUAGUCACGAUUAAUCAAGACAGUAAUUUCCCCCCUUUCUUAAAAAAAAUCUGCCUUUUCAAAAGGAAUGAUUGUUUUAAUCAACUAGAGAAAAGUGUUUUACACGUCUGCGUGUAUAUGUAGGAAGAAUAUUUAGUUAAUAAGAACUGCUUAGGUCACACCUCACUGAAUUUUGAAUAUUUAUCUGUAUAGUAUGCAUAUGAAUAGGAUAUUUACAUUGUUUUCUACCUUCAAAUUCUUUAGUUAAUGUGUCAAACUAUUUAAAGAAGGGAACCUGAAUAAUUUUUCAGAUCUGACAACUGCCAAGGUACCAAGCAUUUUGUUAACACUCUUUUCAAUGCUAAUUAAGGAGCUACUCAUAUCAUAGAAGUUAAUGAAAUGUAUGCACCUUAAUGGAGCCUGUCUACAGACUUAUAACAUUUUGAACACACUCAGAUCAUCAACCUUUAUAAACUCUGUCAUGUUACACUAAAGUCAUUGGCUCUGUAGCAAUUAAUAUAACUGUCAAAGCAACUUCAUC